rnacentral:rRNA from 1 species
UACGUAGGGUGCAAGCGUUGCCCGGAAUUAUUGGGCGUAAAGAGCUUGUAGGCGGUUUGUCGCGUCUGCUGUGAAAUUUCGGGGCUCAACCCCGAACUUGCAGUGGGUACGGGCAGACUAGAGUGUGGUAGGGGAGACUGGAAUUCCUGGUGUAGCGGUGAAAUGCGCAGAUAUCAGGAGGAACACCGAUGGCGAAGGCAGGGCUCUGGGCCACUACUGACGCUGAGAAGCGAAAGCAUGGGGAGCGAACAGG